rnacentral:rRNA from 1 species
AUUGAACGCUGGCGGCAGGCCUAACACAUGCAAGUCGAGCGGAGCGGCGGACGGGUGAGUAAUGCCUAGGAAUCUGCCUGGUCGUGGGGGAUAACGUCCGGAAACGGGCGCUCAUACCGCAUACUAUCAGAUGAGCCUAGGUGUGAUUAGCUAGUUGGUGGGGUAAAGGACUACCAAGGCGACGAUCCGUAACUGGUCUGAGAGGAUGAUCAGUCACACGUGAACUGGGACACGGUCCAGACUCCGACGGGAGGCAGCAGUGGGGAAGAUGGGACAAUGGGCGAAAGCCUGAUCCAGCCAUGGCGCGUGUGUGAAGAAGGGCUUCGGAUUGUAAAGCACUUUAAGUUGGGAGGCGUUACCAACAGAAUAAGCACCGGCUAACUUCGUGCCAGCAGCCGCGGUAAUUC